rnacentral:misc_RNA from 1 species
GUGAAUCAUCGAAUCUUUGAACGCAAAUUGCGCUUCCUGGUAUCCCGGGAAGUAUGCCUGUUUGAGGGUCAGUAUUAACAAAAAAUCGGGUUGUUUGCAAAUUGUGACGUUUCGGGAGUUUGUGCUUAUCUUUUCUUUUUUGUUUAAGGGGCUUAAAAUUGACCUUUUUUUCUUAUUUUUAGUCGUACUUAAAUUUUUUUUUAUUCGUCUAUUCUUAAUGCCAAAAUCUUAUUAGAUGCGUUCACGUCUAUAG